rnacentral:misc_RNA from 1 species
CAAAGUUAAUGGCGCUGCUUUUGUGAAAUCGCAGCUGAAUUAGUUAGGUAUCUUUUAUUGAUGUGCUCUCAAGUUAGAAUUGCAGGAGUUGGCUUAUUCCAUCUUGGGGUUUUCAUGAGUAGCUGCUGGAUUUUUGUGCCAUGUGGGAAGGAAGGAAAUGGAAAAGCUUUUGGUGGAUUGGGAACUAUUUAUUUUUGUUUAUCUCUUUGAGGCAGAGUGGGCAGCUUGCAAAUUGCCCAACGUUCUCUCUUUUUUUUCCUUGUAAAAUGAUCUCGUUGUACUGGGAAUCUGGGAUUGUCGCUCACUUUGAGGUUUGAGCCCUUCGUUAUCAUGUUUGUUUAUCCAACAACCUCAGGUUUUAGCUACCAAGUUGUAUUAUGAUUGGUAACUAUCCUGUUACAUUGAGAGAGAGAG